rnacentral:rRNA from 1 species
AGCGAACGCUGGCGGCAGGCCUAACACAUGCAAGUCGAACGAACCUUUCGGGGUUAGUGGCGGACGGGUGAGUAACACGUGGGAACGUGCCUUUAGGUUCGGAAUAACUUAGGGAAACUUGUGCUAAUACCGAAUGUGCUCCUCGGGGGAAAGAUUAAUCGCCUUUAGAGCGGCCUGCGUCUGAUUAGCUAGUUGGUUGAGGUAAUGGCUCACCAAGGCGACGAUCAGUAGCUGGUCUGAGAGGAUGAUCAGCCACAUUGGGACUGAGACACGGCCCAAACUCCUACGGGAGGCAGCAGUGGGGAAUCUUGCGCAAUGGGCGAAAGCCUGACGCAGCCAUGACGCGUGAAUGAUGAAGGUCUUAGGAUUGUAAAAUUCUUUCACCGGGGACGAUAAUGACGGUACCCGGAGAAGAAGCCCCGGCUAACUUCGUG